ACCCGCCUAGCUCAGCUGGAAGAGCGGUAGCCUCCUAAGUUACAGGUCGUGGGUUCAAUCCCCACGGUGGGUG
rnacentral:tRNA from 1 species